UUGACUAUAUGAUGACUUUUAUACCGCCCCAGUCUGAUGUUUGGUGACUGAGUGGUUUGUUCUGAUUGU